AUUUGGGACACAGCCCCUGCCUGGUGGGCACUACUGCGGGAGCGCACAGAGCGGCGCAGAGCUGCCCGCCUCCUCCAUCACUGCAGCUGAGGGAAAGAGCGCGCGGUGCACUGUGGGAGGGACUUCCACAGGAUGAUGAUGAUGAUGAUGAUGAUGAUGCGAGCGGAAUAUUAACACACCCAUUCAGCUGAAAUGUGCAGUAACGGUCAGCCUGAUUUCCUCACCCAUAGCAGAUGCUUCAUCUCGUCCCAAGUCAGCGAGCAGCGGCUGCUGAGAUACAUGGUUGCCUGCAGCAAUUGUGAGCUCCAGGCAGUCUGGAACGACUGAGGUUUCUGGAAUAAUGGGAUGCUCUGAUGUCUCUGUUGCGGCCUGGGCCAAAGCGGCUGGAAAGAGGAAAAGAAAGACGGAUUUGAGCUCCAGCAGGACUCUGCGCGAUUCCUCCCUCUCACGCCGCUGGCGCUCGCGCUCCCAUGGCGACAGCAUGUCCACUGCCCCACCCCACUCGGUGUCCGAGUCAGACUCUGAGACAUACGCCUCCAGUUCCUGUUCAGCACACACAAAUCCUGUUUAUCUCACCUAAAAUCAUCUCCAUCACCAAAUGCAUUUUCUCAUGCACAGCAUGGCUUAUUCAGCAACAACAAACUGCACUCAAUUACUAAAUUCUUCUCUUUCAUUCAUUCUCCAUCCCUCUACCCAUUUACACUAGAGAAGGCACUGGUCUAGUACCAGGUAUCACCAUCAGGUCAAUAUAAGCAGAAAGUGCUAAAUUCAGCAUAAUAGUCUACUUUUAGAUGCUAAUCUUGAGUGAUCUGCUUCACUUAAAAUAAAGUUUAUUAGUUUUUAAAGAA